UACGUAGGGUGCAAGCGUUGUCCGGAAUUAUUGGGCGUAAAGAGCUCGUAGGCGGUCUGUCGCGUCUGCUGUGAAAACUCAGGGCUUAACCCUGAGCUUGCAGUGGGUACGGGCAGACUAGAGUGCGGUAGGGGAGACUGGAAUUCCUGGUGUAGCGGUGAAAUGCGCAGAUAUCAGGAGGAACACCGGUGGCGAAGGCGGGUCUCUGGGCCGUAACUGACGCUGAGGAGCGAAAGCAUGGGGAACGAACAGG
rnacentral:rRNA from 1 species